GGACAUGGGAUCUACAUGGGAUUUACAUGGGAUGGACACGGGAUCUACAUGGGAAGGCCACAGGAAGGACAUGGGAUGGACAUGGAAAGGACAUGGGAUCUACACGCAACAUGGGAUGGACACGGGAUCUACAUGGGACAUGGGAAGGACAUGGGAUGGACACGGGAGGGACACGGGAAGGACAUGGGAUCUACAUGGGAUUUACAUGGGAUCUACGAUGGACACAGGAGGGACACAGGAGGGACAUGGGAGGCACAUGGGAUCUACAUGGGACACGGGAUGGACAUAGGACAUGGGAUGGACACGGGAUGGACACGGGAUGGACAUGGGAGGGACAUGGGAUCUACAUGGGACACGGGAUGGACAUAGGACACGGGAUGGACACAGGAUGGACAUGGGAGGGACAUGGGAUCUACACGGGACAUGGGAUGGACACGGGAUGGACACGGGAGGGACAUGGGAUCUACAUGGGACAUGGGAAGGACAUGGGAUGGACACAGGACAUGGGAAGGACACAGGAUAGACACUGGAAGGACAUGGGAGGGACAUGGGAAGGACACGGAAGGACAUGGGAGGGACACAGGAUCUACAUGGGACAUGGGAUGGACAUGGGAUCUACAUAGGAUGGACAUGGGAUGGACAUGAGACAUGGGAUGGACACUGGAAGGACAUGGGAGGGACAUGGGAGGGACACGGGAUCUACAUGGGACACGGGUUGGACACGGGAUGGACAUGGGAGGGACAUGGGAAGGCCAUGGGAUCUACAUGGGACACAGGAUGACACGGGAGGGACAUGGGAGGGACAUGGGAGGGACAUGGGACAUAGGAUGGACACAGGAUGGACACAGGAUCUACAUGGGACAUGGGAAGGACAUGGGAUGGACACAGGAUGGACAUGGGAUGGACAUGGGAGGGACACGGGAGGGACAUAGGACAUGGGAAGGACAUGGGAUGUACAUGGAAUAUGGGAAUGACACGGGAUGGACACAGGACAUGGGAAGGACAUGGGAUGGACACGGGAAGGACAUGGGAUCUACAUGGGACAUGGGUUGGACAUGGGAGGGACAUGGGAUCUACACGGGAUGGACACAGGAUGGACACGGAAUCUACAUGGGACAUGGGAAGGACACAGGAUGGACAUGGGAUGGACAUGGGAUCUACAUGGGACAUGGGAAGGACACAGGAUGGACACGGGAGGGACAUGGGAUCUACACGGGAUGGACACGGGAUGGACACGGGAUCUACAUGGGACAUGGGAUGGACACGGGAGGGACACGGGAUCUACAUGGGAGGGACACAGGACAAAGGCAGCACCAAGGGAGGGGGGGGAAGGGGGCGACACGUGAAGGACACGGGACGGACACGCGAGUGACGUGAGACGGACGCGGAAAGAAAGACCAGGCAGCCGACACGGGAUGAACAUGGGAUCGACAUGUAUUGACACGGGACGGAGCAUGGACACAGGAUCUACAUGGGAUGGACACGGGACACGGGAGGGACACAGGAUGCACAGGGAAUGGACAUGGGAUGGACAUGGGAUCUACAUGGAAUAUGGGAAUGACACGGGAUGGACACAGGACAUGGGAAGGACAUGAGAUGGACACAGGAAGGACAUGGGAGGGACAUGGGAAGGACACAGGAUCUACAUGGGACAUGGGAGGGACACGGGAUCUACAUGGGAAGGACACAGGAUCUACAUGGGAUUUACAUGGGCUCUACGAUGGACACGGGAAGGACACAGGAGGGACAUGGGACAUGGGAGGGACACGGGAAGGACACGGAAUCUACAUGGGACAUAGGAAGGACAUGGGAUGGACACAGGAUGGACAUGGGAAGGACAUGGGAAGGACACGGAAGGACAUGGGAUCUACACAGGACAUGGGAGGGACAGGG
rnacentral:lncRNA from 1 species